rnacentral:rRNA from 1 species
CCUACGGGUGGCAGCAGUAGGGAAUCUUGCGCAAUGGGCGAAAGCCUGACGCAGCGACGCCGCGUGAGGGAAGAAGGCCUUCGGGUUGUAAACCUCUUUCAGGAGGGACGCGGUACCUCCAGAAGAAGCCCCGGCUAACUACGUGCCAGCAGCCGCGGUAAUACGUAGGGGGCAAGCGUUGUCCGGAUUUAUUGGGCGUAAAGAGCGUGUAGGCGGCCAAGCAGGUCCGCUGUGAAAACUCGAGGCUCAACCUCGAGAGGUCGGUGGAAACCGUUUGGCUAGAGUCCGGAAGAGGAGAGUGGAAUUCCCGGUGUAGCGGUGAAAUGCGCAGAUAUCGGGAAGAACACCCGUGGCGAAGGCGGCUCUCUGGGACGUCUGACGCUGAGACGCGAAAGCGUGGGGAGCAAACAGGAUUAGAUACCCUUGUAGUC